rnacentral:lncRNA from 1 species
UUGGUUACUCAACCACUUCGGAUGACCCCUUGUUGAACUGCCUUGAAGAUCAUUCUCCUUGGUACUUGAUGUCUGCACAUGAGAGGCUUCCAAGCUGACAGUAGGCUCUUCUAUUAGGUACUUAGAAGCUUUCUCAUGCUUGACACCAAGAUGGCUUUUGUGAUCUCCCUUCUGCUACUUGAUGCCUUCUCAUGAUGGACUUGCUAAGAUGACUGUAGGCUCUUCUCUAUUGUACUUAGAGUCUUCCCAUGAUGGACACCAAGAUGACAUAAUGCUCUUCUUUCUCUUGGCAGUUCUGAACACUCUUCAUGUAGUAGAACUCUCACUUCUACAUAGUAGAACUCACACUUCUACUUCUUUCUUUAUCUGACUUCUGAGUGUUCUUGGUGGAUCGUAGAGUGAACCUUCUGACUUACUGUUUCACAUGUUUUAGAUCAGUCCACCUUCUCUCCAAACUCGGCAACUCCAGCAACCUUUGAUCUUUGAAGCUCUUCCUUAUUUAUACUCAUUCCCAAUCCUUCCGUUGGAAAGUAGCCGUUGAAGGCUACUCAAAUCUCUUCACAGAUCUCGAGUUACUUGAGGUAGACUGCUUGAUGUGACUUGUCAUACUUUUUUGACGUUGCAGUUUACUGUUUCACCUACCCUGUCAGAUGUAUCACUUUAAUGUCUUGGGCAGGUUGAAGACUUUAUUACCUCUUUUUGAUUUCUCGAUUAGAGCUUGUCCUAUUGCAUCGAUGCUCUCAAUAAGCACUUGUCCAAAUAUUACCAUUAAGAUUGAACCUUUGCCAAUGCUUCAAUCUUCAGUUAUUCGGACUCUACGAUUCUGAUGCAUGUCUUCAAGGACUCGAUCGUAGUGUCUUGUUGAGUGUUGCUCAUUGACUGGUAGAGUUAACACUACGAUCUUGAAGAGUUUUGAUUGGAUCUUUAAUGUAGAACACUUCUUCCUUGUAUUGUGUAGUGCUUCAAUACUUCUGUUUGCCUCAACUGCUCUUAGAGACUGAUGGCCUAAUUCCUUGUUCUGGUCCCCUUCUGAAUAUCAAGACACUUCAGAUUUGUGGCGCGUCCAGCUUGCUUUCUCCUUGUGAUCUCCCGUUCACUUAUCAUCAAUGAACUGACCCUGCACUUAAUCACUUUAGCCUUGCUCUUCAAAGGCUGACCAGUAUCUCGGUUCACCUUCCAUCAGUUCCUUCUUUGUUUGGCAAACACUACGAUCUUGGUUGCUUCCAAGAUCGUUGUCUUCUGUUCACUUGAUAGCUACUGCAUUAGCUGACUUUCCUUAGUCAGCUUCUGAAGUCUUCUUUGGAUCUCCUUGUGGAAGACUUCAUCACGAAUGGCCUUACACCUCAAUCUUGAUGCUGAUUGGGUUGGUGCUGAGAUCUUCUGUUAGCCUGCAUGCCAUUCGUUGAGUGCUCUCUGGUUUCCUUGGAUGUAGCUUGCAGCUUGAACCAGAGGCUUCGUUCCUUUGGAUAUUCUGGGAGUGCUCAUUUGUUGAGAACCGUAUAUGCUCUACGAUUCAUCCUUGGCAUUGUGAGCACUUCUUCUUAGAUCGUAGUUCUGCACUCUACGAUUCAGCUUCGGCUUGUGCAGACACUACGAUCCCGAGAUCAGAUCUUGACACUACGAUUUCUGCCUUGUGCUUGUUGUCUUCAUCUGAUCUUGCUUGACUACGAUCUCUGCAUGUAAUCAAUAGACUCUACGAACUCAGAGUGUGAUCUACGAUCCUUGACUUGGCUUUGGCAUCAGUAGACUCUACGACUCUGAGUGUAGUCUACGUUUCUAUCUUGACUUCGGCAGAUGACUGGUCGGCUCGUAGGCAGGCUGUCUCUACGAUUCUGAACAUGACUUCCUCAGCACACUACGAUCCCAAGGAAGCUCUACUCGAUACACUACGAUCCUUCUUCGUUUCCCCUGGCAGUCUACGAACUCCGAGAUCUACUAUCUUGCAUACUCCUAUUCUGCCUCGAUAGCUCUCGAGUUAACCUUGACUCACCUGGCAGACUACGACUUCUGGUGCAGUGCUCGACGAUCAGACUAGCUUAUCUAUUACAUCAUUAGAUCAACCUAACAAGCUUGAUCUCUCUAUAUUUAUAGUCCUUGUACAUCAUUUCUUUUUAAGGACUUUACAAAGCUGUUUUGCUUAUGUAAGAUCAACCUAACAUAUUUGAUCAAUUCAUUCUAAGUCCUUGUACAUAUAUUUCUAUUGUCUAUCAAAGGACUUUACAGCUUUUCUUAAUGCAAGCAUACUUGCAUAUUAUUCAUUCAUAUAUGUAUAUAUCAUAAUCAAAUCAUAUAUAAAUAGGAAUAGCAUUCACAUGCAUAUUCCUGACAAUCUCCCACUAUUUGAUUAUGACAAAAAUAAUAAGUACAUAUGCAUGUUAUGAAUGAACCUUAUAUACAGUGAGCAGUUGUAUUUCUAAGACAGUUAAUCAUGAAUGUCAUUUAAAUUGAUGUGGCAAUUUAUAUAUUAAGACAAUCUACAUCCUGGAUCCAGAACAUACCUAUCUAGUUAGAGAUGUACCUCUUUGGCUCCAUGUAUGUUUCCAGGAUGCUUGUUGAUCAGCUACUCAUCUGAUUGGUCUUCUUUUUCUUGCUCCACCUGGGAUGAUGACAUUUUGUCUUUGCUUGGGUCCUCUUCAGCAUCUUCCUGAUCAGGCUCCCCCUCAGAAUUUGCAAUCUUGUUAUCAUCAUCUUCUGGCUCCCCCUAUGAUCAUGACUCUUUAUCUGCAGCUGCUUUUUUCUUCUUUGACUUCUUCUCCCUUAACCCUCUGCUCUUCCUUGAGUGCCUCUUGCUCCUCUUCUUUCUAUGCCUCUUUUUCUCUCCCUUUUUGUCAUCAAUCAUUUGAGAGAGCUGCUCCAUGUUGGACAUAAGCUGCUCCAUCAGGUAGGAGGAGUUGGCAACUUCAAACUUUAGUUCUUGAUGUCCUAGCUCAAGUUGCACUGAGAAGGUCUGCCUCAUAUCAUCAAUCUUGUCAGAGAGGGCUUCGAUCUGCUCUGCAUUGGCCUUCUAAAUUUGUAGAGCUUCUUCCUUCUGAUCUUGUAUGGCCUUUUGAUAGAUGUUAUCUCUCUCUUGGAGUUUAAGAGAUACAUCAGCCAAGAUAUCUUGAAGCUUAUGCUUGAAAGAAUCAUCUCCUGCAGCUGUCUUCUUAUGUGAUUCUUCAGUGAGCAUAGAUAUCUUAGAAGCUUUCUCAUGCUUGACACCAAGAUGGCUUUUGUGAUCUUCCUUCUACUACUUGAUGCCUUCUCAUGAUGGACUUGCUAAGAUGACUGUAGGCUCUUCUCUAUUGUACUUAGAGUCUUCCCAUGAUGGACACCAAGAUGACAUAAUGCUCUUUUUUCUCUCGGCAGUUCUGAACACUCUUCAUGUAGUAGAACUCUAACUUCUACAUAGUAGAACUCACACUUCUACUUCUUUCUUUAUCUGACUUCUGAGUGUUCUUGGUGGAUCGUAAAGUGAACCUUCUGACUCACUGUUUCACAUGUUUUAGAUCAGUCCACCUUCUCUCCAAACUCGGCAACUCCAGCAACCUUUGAUCUUUGAAGCUCUUCCUUAUUUAUACUCCUUCCCAAUCCUUCCGUUGGAAAGUAGCCGUUGAAGGCUAUUCAAAUCUCUUCACAGAUCUCGAGUUGCUUGAGGUAGACUGCUUGACGUGACUUGUCAUACUUUUUCUGACGCUGCAGUCUACUGUUUCACCUACCCUGUUAGAUGUAUCACUUUAAUGUCUUGGGCAGGUUGAAGACUUUAUUACCUCUUUUUGAUUUCUCGAUUAGAGCUUGUCCUAUUGCAUCGAUGCUCUCAAUAAGCACUUGUCCAAAUAUUACCCUUCAGAUUGAACCUUUGCCAAUGCUUCAAUCUUCAGUUAUUCGGACUCUACGAUUCUGAUGCAUGUCUUUAAGGACUCGAUCGUAGUGUCUUGUUGAGUGUUGAUCAUUGACUGGUAGAAUUAACACUACGAUCUUGAAAAGUGUUGAUUGGAUCUUCAAUGUAGAACAUCUCUUCCUUGUAUUGUGCAGUGCUUCAAUACUUCUAUUUGCCUCAACUGCUCUUAGAGACUGAUGGCCUAAUUCCUUGUUCUGGUCCCCUUCUGAAUAUCAAGACACUUCAGAUUUGUGGCGCGUCUAGCUUGUUUUCUCCUUGUGAUCUCCCGUUCACUUAUCAUCAAUUAACUGACCCUGCACUUAAUCACUUUAGCCUUGCUCUUGAGAGGCUGACCAGUAUCUCGGUUCACCUUCCAUCAGUUCGUUCUUUGUUUGGCAAACAUUAUGAUCUUGGUUGCUUCCAAGAUCGUUGUCUUCUGUUCACUUGAUAGCUACUGCAUAAGCUGACUUUCCUUGGUCAGCUUCUGAAGUCUUCUUUGGAUUUCCUUGUGGAAGACUUCAUCACGAAUGGCCUUACAACUCAAUCUUGAUGCUUAUUAGGUUGGUGCUUAGAUCUUCUGUGAGCCUGCAUGCCAUUCGUUGAGUGUUCUCUGGAUUCCUUGGAUGUAGCUUGCAGCUUGAACCAAAGGUUUCGUUCCUUUGGAUAUUCUGGGAGUGCUCAUAUGUUGAGAACCGUAUAUGCUCUACGAUUCUUCCUUGGCACUGUGAGCACUUCUGUUGAGGUCGUAGUUCUGCACUCUACGAUUCAGCUUCGGCUGGUGCAGACACUACGAUCCCGAGAUCAGAUCUUGACACUCUACGAUGUCUGCCUUGUGCUUGUUGUCUUCAUCUGAUCUUGCUUGACUACGAUCUCUGCAUGUAAUCAAUAAACUCUAUGAACUCAGAGUGUGAUCUACGAUCCUUGACUUGGCUUUGGCAUCAGUAGACUCUACGACUCUAAGUGUAGUCUACGUUUCUGUCUUGGCUUCGGCAGAUGACUGGUCGGCUCGUAGGCAGGCUGUCUCUACGAUUCUAAACAUGACUUCCUCAGCACACUACGAUCCCAAGGAAGCUCUACUCGAUACACUAUGAUCCUUCUUCGUUUCCCCUGGCAGUCUACGAUCUCCGAGAUCUACUAUCUUGCAUAUUCCUAUUCUGCCUCGAUAGCUCUCGAGUUAACCUUGACUCACCUGGCAGACUACGACUUCUGGUGCAGUGCUUGACGAUCAGACUAGCUUAUCUAUUACAUCAUUAGAUCAACCUAACAGGCUUGAUCUCUCUAUAGUUAUAGUCCUUGUACAUCAUUUCUUUUUAAGGACUUCACAAAGUUGUUUUGCUUAUGUAGGAUCAACCUAACAUAUUUGAUCAAUUCAUUCUAAGUCCUUGUACAUAUAUUUCUAUUGUCUAUCAAAGGACUUUACAGCUUUUCUUAAUGCAAGUAUACUUGCAUAUUAUUCAUUCAUAUAUGUAUAUAUCAUAAUCAAAUCAUAUAUAAAUAGGAAUAGCAUUCACAUGCAUAUUCCUGACAGAAUCUUUAUUCAUUGACCAUUGACAGAACACUACCUGAAUGUUGAAUCACUUGAUAUGUCUAUAUAUUCCACUGUGUUUUACAAAAAUACAUACCUUCUUUUGGUCUUGAUUCAUAGCAAGGUGUCUUUCCUUCAUUUAUUUCAAUAAGACAAACUGACAUCACAUCAUUAUUCAUGUUAUCCACCUUCAGAUCAGAGUGCUGGAGUUUAUUGUUGUGCCUAGAUCUACAACGACCUUUUUCCACAAAAGCAGGGUCAGAACUUCUCUUAUGCAUUAUUUGUCUACAAGAUCAAGCUCAGUUUCUGGAAUACCUGAUUCACCCAAAUGGCAUAAGCAGAAAUUCAAUCACAAAUUCAACAUUAUAAAAGACAAUUUAAAAUCAGACAAUAUCCAAUUAGUCUUAUAUCCAAUUCCAAAAGUUUUGUCUUAAUCAUUUCUUGAUAUGGGCUAUGUAUUCUGUAAUUUGUUAAGGGAAUUUCAAUUUGUUUAGACAUAUGCGGAAUGAACUAUCUGACUUAUGUAUCUCUAUCUGCUAUACAGACAUUCCAACUGCCUUCCCCUCACAUCCCUCUGAUCUCAAACAAAUAAAUCCCCACUUGUGUAACAUAUACCCAAGAAAAAACUGUGUGGCCGGAACUCUCUCCUUAUUGAUGUGUAAAGCUCCUUAUCCACACAUCAUAAAGUUUGAAGAGUUUCAGCUCUUUAUUUGUUGCAAAGUUUCAAUGUUAAACAAGGGAAAUAAUUGUUCUGCAUCCUAAACUUGGAUUUUAAAAAAAGUCCCCAACUGGGGAAAUUAGCUGCCCUCAAGCCCCCAAAUUAACACUAUAGCAACACCAUUAAACUAUUCAUGUAAAGACACGCUUUUUCAGUAUACCAAAUCCGCAAAUGACUGAAUGAGAUGAAUUGAAAGAAUCACACUCAAUAAACCCUAGAAAAGCUAAAAGUUGAAAAUUUCAAACCAAUAUAUUCGUGUGAGUAUAUAGAUGUAUGGAUAAUUAUGCAUAGAUACAAAUUCUUACAUGUGGAUAAGCACAUAAAUACACACCUAUAUACAAAGAGAGAGGGAAGGUGACCUUUUCGCGAUCGACGGGUUCGAAGCGAGGGCCAGAUUUAGCAGUAGGAUGGGGAUGAAAAGGAGGUCCUGGUGGGCCCCGACCCGAUUGAGGAUUCGGUCUCCCUCCUCUUCUUUGCCUCAGAUCGAACGUACACCAAAUAAGAACACAAUCAAAGAGUAGAUAGAGAGAAGGAAAACUAAAGAGAGAGAAGGAAAAUCGGAGAGAGAAGGAAAAAUGAAGAGAAAGAGAAAGAGUACGUCUUUUAAUUAAGUUUUCCAGUUUUUUGCUCCGUUUUUUAGAUAGAC